CAAUUUUCAGGAGGCGACUCCUUGUUCUCUUUUGCUGCCUCAGUUAGGUGUUGCCAGUGAUGGCGACUUAACUGAGGUUGCAUAUGGUGUGGCACAGCCAACCAAAGAGGGCCAAACAAUGCAUUCGAUGCCUGUUACAAGUGGCCACAUCAGUGUGAUCGUGGAAACUUCUAAAGGGGUUUGAAGAUUUCUCACUCCCGGUUCCAAUGCCAGAAGGGAGCCUUGAGAAACUAUCAGACGCCCUAGGUAGUUUCAUCACAUGGCCAUAUGCUUGGGUCCGAUUCACUACCAUGCUAAAGAGUCUAAAGGGCUCUAGGAGAGAGAUCGGUUCCUCAUCAAAGAUGUUGACUGGGUCAAAGUCGACGACAAUCACUCCAAUUUUGACUGAUGCGGAGCUAAAAGAUAUCUCUCAAGAUUGCAAAUGUCUGCACACAUAUGCAUCUCACCUGCGUGAGGAGGACCCAAUCGUUCUAACCCUGCAGAAGGAACAAUUCUGCUUUGUUGAGAGCCCAUUUGUAAUUAUUGGUCCUAGUGCCAUUGGGCAAUUUUAGAGAGGAGAAAUGUUGAAUGUAGCUCUUAUCCAUGUCUACAUGAGUGCGGCUUACGAGGAGCUAAAUUCUUGUGAACCUCCAAUAAAAAUUGGAUGUUUUGUCUUGAGUCGAUUUCAGGUACUAAAAACGUAAAUGAUCCAGAUGACGUCAAAGCAUACAUUGAGACUGCUUUGAAUAAUUCCCAUGCAUCUAAACAGACGUUCAUUCUAGCCCCAUAUGUGGAAGAUUUGCAUUGGAUACUUUUGGUCAUAUGUCCUUUAACGAACACUGUGCACGUCUUCGACUCAUUACAAAAACCUCAAAGCCCGUCUCGCAACACAAAAUUCAAAGCCUUGUUGAAUGCUGCUUUCGACAAGUUGAUAAUAUCGUUGAUUGCGGCUACUACACUCUCAAAUACAUGGACGCUGUUUUAUACGACAUUCCAAUGAAAACACGCCCUUUUAGAAUUGGAGAUAUGCGCCAAUUGAAAGACAAGAUUGCCGCGUAUCUUGCUAAUUUUUGUUCUUGGUAAAUAAUGUAAUUAGUUUAGAUUUAGAAUUUAAUUUGUAUAUGUACAUAUUAUUAUAUAUACGAUCGAGAGUUUACAAAGAGAUUAUUGGUG